ACGGGAGGCAGCAGUGGGGAAUAUUGCACAAUGGGGGAAACCCUGAUGCAGCGACGCCGCGUGAGUGAAGAAGUUAUUCGUAAUGUAAAGCUCUAUCAGCAGGGAAGAAAAUGACGGUACCUGACUAAGAAGCCCCGGCUAACUACGUGCCAGCAGCCGCGGUAAUACGUAGGGGGCAAGCGUUAUCCGGAUUUACUGGGUGUAAAGGGAGCGUAGACGGUCUGGCAAGUCUGAUGUGAAAGGCAGGGGCUCAACUCCUGGACUGCAUUGGAAACUGUCAGUCUUGAGUGCCGGAGAGGUAAGCGGAAUUCCUAGUGUAGCGGUGAAAUGCGUAGAUAUUAGGAGGAACACCAGUGGCGAAGGCGGCUUACUGGACAAUAACUGACGCUGAGGCUCGAAAGCGUGGGGAGCAAACAGGAUUAGAUACCCUGGUA
rnacentral:rRNA from 1 species